GAUGAACGCUGGCGGUAUGCUUAACACAUGCAAGUCGAACGGUGUCUUCGGACAUAGUGGCGGACGGGUGAGUAACGCGUGAGAAUCUAGCUUCAGGUCGGGGACAACCACUGGAAACGGUGGCUAAUACCGGAUAUGCCGAGAGGUGAAAGGCUUGCUGCCCGAAGAUGAGCUCGCGUCUGAUUAGCUAGUAGGUGUGGUAAAGGCGCACCUAGGCGACGAUCAGUAGCUGGUCUGAGAGGAUGAUCAGCCACACUGGGACCGAGACACGGCCCAGACUCCUACGGGAGGCAGCAGUGGGGAAUUUUCCGCAAUGGGCGAAAGCCUGACGGAGCAAUACCGCGUGAGGGAGGAAGGGCUCUUGGGUUGUAAACCUCUUUUCUUCAGGGAAGAAAAAAUGACGGUACCUGAGGAAUAAGCAUCGGCUAACUCCGUGCCAGCCGCCGCGGUAAG
rnacentral:rRNA from 1 species